rnacentral:rRNA from 1 species
UGGGGAAUAUUGCACAAUGGGCGCAAGCCUGAUGCAGCGACGCCGCGUGGGGGAUGACGGCCUUCGGGUUGUAAACCUCUUUCAGCAGGGACGAAGCGAAAGUGACGGUACCUGCAGAAGAAGCACCGGCCAACUACGUGCCAGCAGCCGCGGUAAUACGUAGGGUGCGAGCGUUGUCCGGAAUUACUGGGCGUAAAGAGCUCGUAGGUGGUUUGUCGCGUUGUUCGUGAAAACCGGGGGCUUAACCCUCGGCGUGCGGGCGAUACGGGCAGACUAGAGUACUGCAGGGGAGACUGGAAUUCCUGGUGUAGCGGUGGAAUGCGCAGAUAUCAGGAGGAACACCGGUGGCGAAGGCGGGUCUCUGGGCAGUAACUGACGCUGAGGAGCGAAAGCGUGGGGAGCGAACAGGAUUAGAUACCCUGGUAGUCCACGCCGUAAACGGUGGGUACUAGGUGUGGGUUUCCUUCCUUGGGAUCCGUGCCGUAGCUAACGCAUUAAGUACCCCGCCUGGGGAGUACGGCCGCAAGGCUAAAACUCAAAUGAAUUGAC